rnacentral:tRNA from 1 species
GUUACUUUAGCUUAAUAGGUAAAGCAAUUGAUUUGUAAUCAUUAAAAUGAUGGUUCAAUUCCGUCAAGUAACU